CAGUCGAGAUUUUCGACUUGUCUGGAACUAUGCCAGCUGGAUUGAAGCUUGAGGCCUCAGUGCUGAGGGAUCCCACACUGGUGAGCUAGCUACUUUUCGGACUGCUCCUCCCUGUCGAUGUAAAUAAGCUGCUGAGCAUUCCUCAGAGGGAUAUGAGGAGAGGAGCCAUAGAUUGUCUCAUCCAGAUAUGUUGGGACUUUUUCAUUUAGCACUUACUAUAUGCUCAUUUAUCAUUUAUGAAUUUUUCUUCACUUGCUAACUUACCCAUUACUUGAAUGGGUACAUUAAAAGCUCCCGUGAGCUGGCCAAAG
rnacentral:lncRNA from 1 species